GAUGAACGCUGGCGGCGUGCCUAAUACAUGCAAGUCGAGCGAACGGACGAGAAGCUUGCUUCUCUGCUGUUAGCGGCGGACGGGCGAGUAACACGUGGAUAACCUACCUCUAUGACUGGGAUAACUUCGGGAAACCGGAGCUAAUACUGGAUCAUAUUUUGAACCGCAUGGUUCUAAAGUGAAAGACGGUCUUGCUGUUAAUUAUAGAUGGAUCCGCGCUGCAUUAGCUAGUUGGUAAGGUAACGGCUUAACAAGGCAACGAUGCAUAGCCGACCUGAGAGGGUGAUCGGCCACACUGGAACUGAGACACGGUCCAGACUCCUACGGGAGGCAGCAGUAGGGAAUCUUCCGCAAUGGGCGAAAGCCUGACGGAGCAACGCCGCGUGAGUGAUGAAGGUCUUCGGAUCGUAAAACUCUGUUAUUAGGGAAGAACAUAUGUAUAAGUAACUGUGCACAUCUUGACGGUACCUAAUCAGAAAGCAACGGCUAACUACGUG
rnacentral:rRNA from 1 species